rnacentral:ncRNA from 2 species
AGAGUUAAACAGUGCGUGAAAUUGUUAAAAGGGAAACGAAUGAGACCAGUAAUCUUGACAGUUAAUCAGCCGGUUGGCCGUUGUCUAGUGCUAUUUGAAGAGCGCAAGCCUUCAAGAAGUGGUAUGGCAGCUGUUUACCGGUGCACUUUGCUGCCGAGGAGUCAACAACAGUUUGAUCGGAUGGAUAAACUCGGGCGGAAGGUAGCUUCAAUAUUUUUGUUGAAGUGUUUAGCCGCUCGAUGGUACACAUCGGAUUGGACUGAGGAUCGCAGAGUGCCGAAUAUUUAUAUUUGGCAGGGCGACUCGGUGCUGUAAAGUACGGAGCGUUAGGCCAGCUUGCUGACUGAUGCUGUGUUAUUUUGCACUCGCCGGGCUCCGCUACAAACACUCUUAGGUUGUUGACGAAAUGGUCUUAUCCGACC